rnacentral:rRNA from 1 species
GUGGGGAAUCUUGCGCAAUGGGCGAAAGCCUGACGCAGCCAUGCCGCGUGAAUGAUGAAGGUCUUAGGAUUGUAAAAUUCUUUCACCGGGGACGAUAACGACGGUACCCGGAGAAGAAGCUCCGGCUAACUUCGUGCCAGCAGCCGCGGUAAUACGAAGGGGGCUAGCGUUGCUCGGAAUUACUGGGCGUAAAGGGCGCGUAGGCGGACAGCUUAGUCAGAGGUGAAAGCCCAGGGCUCAACCUUGGAAUUGCCUUGGAUACUGGCUGUCUUGAGUUUGGGAGAGGUGAGUGGAACUCCGAGUGUAGAGGUGAAAUUCGUAGAUAUUCGGAAGAACACCAGUGGCGAAGGCGACUCACUGGCCCAAUACUGACGCUGAGGCGCGAAAGCGUGGGGAGCAAACAGGAUUAGAAACCCGGGUAGUCC